UGGGGAAUAUUGCACAAUGGGCGCAAGCCUGAUGCAGCGACGCCGCGUGAGGGGAUGACGGCCUGGUGUAACUCUUCUACCCAUGACGAAGCGCAAGUGACGGUAGUGGGAGAAGAAG
rnacentral:rRNA from 1 species